rnacentral:rRNA from 1 species
AUUGAACGCUGGCGGCAGGCCUAACACAUGCAAGUCGAACGAGUGGCGGACGGGUGAGUAAUGUCUGGGAAACUGCCCGAUGGAGGGGGAUAACUACUGGAAACGGUAGCUAAUACCGCAUACCAUCGGAUGUGCCCAGAUGGGAUUAGCUUGUAGGUGAGGUAACGGCUCACCUAGGCGACGAUCCCUAGCUGGGCUGAGAGGAUGACCAGCCACACGGGAACUGAGACACGGUCCAGACUCCUACGUGAGGCAGCAGUGGGGAAUAUUGCACAAGGGGCGCAAGCCGGAGGCAGCCAUGCCGCGUGGAUGAAGAAGGCUUGCGGGUUGUAAAGUACUUUCAGCGGGGAGGUGUUACCCGCAGAAGAAGCAACGGCUAACUCCGUGCCAGCAGCCGCGGUAAUAC